rnacentral:lncRNA from 1 species
GCUGUUUGGGGUUUUAGGCUGGGUUUCUGUACAGAACUUUGAGAUAUCAGCUGAUGUACGAAGGGCUAUAUAAAUAAAUUUGAUUUGAUUUUGAUUUGAGGGAGGUAGACAUGGUAGAGGAGACUGAGUGGUGAUGGCUGGAGGGAGGUAGACAUGGUAGAGAGGACUGAGUGGUGAUGGCUGGAGGGCUGUAGACAUGGUAGAGGGGACUGAGUGGUGAUGGCUGGAGGGAGGUAGACAUGGUAGAGGAGACUGAGUGGUAAUGGCUGGAGGGAGGUAGACAUGGUAGAGGGGACUGAGUGGUGAUGGCUGGAGGGAGGUAGACACGGUAGAGGAGACUGAGUGGUGAUGGCUGGAGGGAGGUAGACAUGGUAGAGGGGACUGUGUGGUGAUGGCUGAAGGGCUGUAGUCAUGGUAGAGGAGACUGAGUGGUAAUGUCUGGAGGGAGGUAGACAUGGUAGAGGAGACUGAGUGGUGAUGGCUGGAGGGAGGUAGACAUGGUAGAGGUGACUGAGUGGUGAUGGCUGGAGGGAGGUAGACAUGGUAGAGGUGACUGAGUGGUGAUGGCUGAAGGGUGGUAAACAUGGUAGAGGGGACUGAGUGGUGAUGGCUGGAGGACUGAGUGAGAGGAGACUGAGUGGUGAUGGCUGGAGGGAGGUAGAGAUGGUAGAGGAGACUGAGUGGUGAUGGCUGGAGGGUGGUAGAUAUGGUCGAAAAGACUGAGUGGUGAUGGCUGGAGGGCUGUAGUCAUGGUAGAGGAGAAUGAGUGGUGCUGGCUGGAGGGAGGUAGACAUGGUAGAGAGGUCUGAGUGGUCAUGGCUGGAGGGCUGUAGUCAUGGUAGAGGAGACUGAGUGGUGAUGGCUGGAGGG